ensembl:lncRNA
GUAAGGAAGUGAGUGAUAUGGAAAAUAAGGGAUAAAAAGACAGAGAAUUUGAGAAUUUGAACACAUAAAUCAAUUGGAAAAACAGUAAUAAUAGAAAGAAAUAUGACUUCUAGAUAUAGUAAAUGAGUUAAGACAUUUAUGAAUAAAUACACAAAGAAAAAUGAUCAACAGGAUCCAAGGCCCUGUGGAAUAUAAGGAGAAUGUGGAAUUGUGAUUCCUGUAUGGUUUAAAAGAGAACUGAGACUCAUGAGAGUAAAAUUUUUGGCCUGUAUAGCAUAAAUAAUGAGCAGAAUAGGAAAACAGUAAUCUGUAAUGUCAAGCUUUCCAAAAGAGAGAACAAGAGACUGAGAACGCAAAAAUAUACAAGUGAAAAAAAUCAAGAAGAAAAGCAAAAACCAAGAACGUUAAAAGACAAUAUGCUCACUGUGCAAGCAAAAUCUACUGAACUUCAAGGCGAAGAUAGAACGAUGGGGAUGGACCAAAGGUUUCAGUGGCAGAGGGAAGCCCAGAGCACCGGAACUCCUUCAGCCCCUGAGACUCAUCGCCUUGGAAGCCUUGGCAAAAGCUCAGCUCAGUCCGCCACUCUGAUCCCCAAUGUGUGUGAGGGUUGGGAUGCUCCGAGGCUCCCCCUCCCCCAUGAAGUUGGCCCCAGGUACACGGCCCUCUGCUAGAGUCUAGGGAGAAUGAUAACGGAACUACAAAGGCUCUCUUCCUUCCCAUAGUAACAUGGGGAUAGACUUUGAGCUGUGAUUUCAUUCGGAUAGACGUGUCCCUGGAAAAUGGUGUCGAAAUUGAAGUUUUAGCAAUCACAUCAAACUUUUAAUGGACUGGACGAGCUGGUUGUUUUAAGGAAUUCUUUGAUAAUUCCAUUCAGUUCAGCGUAGUGAAACGGACACUGGGCAGUCUUUAGGUCAGAAGACGCAUGGUGGUUCCAUGAAAAGAGGAUCCUGAGUCAGAGCAUUUGGGUUCAAAUUCCUACACGGGGUAUAAGAGGAAGAGCAUUGACAGUGGAGGCAGAGGAAGAGAGUCAAAGCACACUGAUGAUAUAGUUACUUCUUGGAUACUUCUUGGUCAAGUCGCUUAAAUUUAGCAGGCUUCAGUUUCCUCCUCUGCAAAAUGUGGUCCCUGAGAUUCCUUCCAGCUCAAGAGGCAUUGAUUGACAUGACAAAACUGUACGUUCCUGAGCAAACCACUUCUUUAUUUGUAAAAUGGGGAUAAAAUACUUAUAUGACUCACCCACCAAGGUUGUGAAGGAAUUGGCUUUCCUAAACCUUAAAGUGCUGUACAAAUGCUGUUAUUAGUAAAACAGUGGACCUUGUUGUGAUAGAGGCUGGACCCCGCCCCUUCCCCCCCCCCCCCCCCCCCAUCAAUUUCACGUACUCUUCAGUCUGGCACAGUUUUCUUUAGUGCCAGCCUCUAUCACAUUGUGGAGGAAUGAUGGGAUCUAUCACUAUAAAUACAAUACAGGAAACUGACUAUGUAAAGUUGGUGACCUAUUCUGGCUGCUUAGAGGCUUCCCCCUCCAACCUUUUGCUUUCUUCCUGGUUCUUGGAUAGAUGAAUGCUU